UUUGGGAGCCAUUUUUAAUUAAAAACUGUACAAGAUUUAAAUGAACCAAACAACAUAUACCUGCCAGGAUAACCUGGUGAUUCAUUGCUGCGUUGUUUUAGUUUUCAAGAAUGCAAUCAUUCUAUUUACAACCUUGUUUUUCUUAUGGUUUUUUAUUUUGGUUUAGGCGUUAAAAAUAUUUAAUGGAUAUGAGAGGUAUUUAGUAGAACAGGUGCCAGCAUCUGUACAAAUUAAAUCAAAUUAUAUCUCUGUAAUCAAAGGGGAAACAGUGCAUGCUUAAAGGUCACCUUGGAAAAUGUCAAAUAUGUUUGUUUGGAGGUAAAUCUUAUGGGAUUUACUAUCUAAGUAGAGGAAAACAGCUGUAAUCCAUUUUGGCUUGUAUUGGUUAUACAUGAGAUUUACAGGUAGUCUUUGAAUUACAGCCAUUCAUUUAGCAAUUGUUCGGAAUUACAGCACUGAAAAAGUGACUUACAAAUGAUCCUCACACUUGCGACUGUUGUAGCAUCUCUGCAGUCGUGCGAUCAAAAUUCACCUGCUUAACCACUGGCAUAUAUUUAUAAUGGUUGCAGCAUUCCCAGGGUCAUGUGAUUGACAUUUGUGACCUCUCCAGUUGACAAGCCAAUCAAUGGGGAAAGCUGAUUUGCUUAAUGGUCACGUGAUUCAACUUAAGAACUUCAAUUAUUAAUAACCAUGAGCAAAAAUAAUCAAAAAAUUGGGCACAGCUCAUUUAGCAACCACCUUACUUAAUAAUAGAAAUUCUGCUUCCAGUUAUGGUUGCAAUUAAUGGCUUACCUGUAGACCAAUAAUCUAUGGAUUUAGUUCUAGUUUUUAGAACUGAGAGGGAAAGUGGCCUUCUCAAUUUAUUUAUAUAGAUUUUGCAAAUAAACAAAACUAUGGCCAUUUUUUUUAUAUAAAGGAUUAUUUAUUUAUAUAAUAGAUAACAGUUUAAAUUAUAAAGCAUCUAUGAAAGAGACCUAAAACAAGAUGGAUGACAUCAAGUAUUACGGGCCCAAUUGGCAAAACAAAGCUCAGGACCGUAUUAGGUGGAAACAGGUGGAAGAGGCCUUCGUCCUGCAAUUGAUAGACAAUGGCUAAAGUGAUAAUGAAGAUGGUGAAUGAUGAUGAUGAUGAUGAUAAUUUGAGUUUGAGUUCUAGGGAUGCUUCCCAUUUAAAGCAAUCAAAUGUUUCCAAACAUUUAAGUAAAAAUUGUUUAAAUAGGUAUAGUUUGCAAAGCAUCUUCUAUAUUGUAUUUAUGCACUCUAUUUACAUAUUAUUUUAUUUCUUGCUUGUAUAUAUAUUCAUGAACCUAAAGCCACCUCUAUCAGGAAUCAGAGUAAAUCUACUUUAAACAGAAGAUGGGUGGGAUGAAACGAAGUAAAUUGUUAUUUAUUUCAUUUAUGGUU